rnacentral:rRNA from 1 species
UAGUCCACGCCGUAAACGAUGGUUACUAGCUGUUGGGCCGAUUGGGGCUCAGUGGCCAAGCGAAAGUGAUAAGUAACCCACCUGGGGAGUACGUUCGCAAGAAUGAAACUCAAAGGAAUUGACGGGGGCCCGCACAAGCGGUGGAGCAUGUGGUUUAAUUCGAUGAUACGCGAGGAACCUUACCAGGGCUUAAAUGCAGUUGGACAGGGGUGGAAACACCCCCUUCUUCGGACUGAUUGCAAGGUGCUGCAUGGUUGUCGUCAGCUCGUGUCGUGAGAUGUUGGGUUAAGUCCCGCAACGAGCGCAACCCUUAUUUCUAGUUGCCAUUUGGAACUCUAGAAAGACUGUCGGUUAUAAACCGGAGGAAGGCGGGGAUGACGUCAAGUCAGCAUGCCCUUAUGCCCUGGGCUACACACGUGCUACAAUGGACAGUACAAAGGGUUGCCACUUAGUGAUAAGGAGCUAAUCCCAAAAACUGUUACUCAGUUCGGAUCGGAGUCUGCAACUCGACUCCGUGAAG